GAAAUGCGAUAAGUAAUGUGAAUUGCAGAAUUCCGUGAAUCAUCGAAUCUUUGAACGCACAUUGCGCCCCCUGGUAUUCCGGGGGGCAUGCCUGUCCGAGCGUCAUUGCUGCCCUCAAGCACGGCUUGUGUGUUGGGCUUCCGUCCCUGGCAACGGGGACGGGCCCAAAAGGCAGUGGCGGCACCAUGUCUGGUCCUCGAGCGUAUGGGGCUUUGUCACCCGCUCCCGUAGGUCCAGCUGGCAGCUAGCCUCGCAACCAAUCUUUUUAACCAGGUUGACCUCGGAUCAGGUAGGGAUACCCGCUGAACUUAAGC
rnacentral:misc_RNA from 1 species